rnacentral:lncRNA from 1 species
AUGCGCAUGCGCAGUGCCGGUCACUGGAUGUGGAGGAUGCUCUCACCUCAGGUGUACCGUCCGAUUGACAGAAAAACAAUGAUGGCGACCGCUGCCGAGGAAAUCAACCAGAGCUGUCCUCUCUCUGACAAUAACAGCACGUCUGUCUCUUUCAAAAUUGCCAGAAAAAAUCAGGACAGACCCUGGAAGUUGAGGUUUAUUUAUCUACAAUGCUAUUUUCUAUCUAUUGCAACUAUACUGGGGACAGGCAUCUUGGGUCUGCCAGUGUCAAUAGCACAAGCAGGAUUGCUGCCAUUCCUGGUGUCCUUCAUCAUUGGGUUCUUUAUGCAGGCUCUGCUCAUAUAUCUGUUUGUGGACUUGCUGCAACGAUGCAGGGUUAACCAGAUGGAAUCGUUCAAGACUACAGAGACUGAAAGGAUUUUAAUGGAAGAUGUCAGUGCACAGGAUUCUCCUGAGGUCUGCCCUGAAGAAGUGGAGGAAGGGGAUGAGGGAGAGGAGGCUGACACUGGCCUCCUACACAGACACUCCACAGCCCAAGAGCUGCAUGAGAAGCUGGAACCCAAUCUUCACAUCAUGGGUGUCCUCUUUCUCAGCAAGAACAUGAGUCGCUCCUUCAACUUCAUCCUCCUCUUUCAGUUCAUUUCUAUUGGAAUCAGCUAUGUCCUGGCAGGCAGUGAGGCCUACGCUGCUCUCUUUCACAUCAGCCACAUCUACGUCAUCCCGGCCUUCACGUGGAUACUGGCUCUGGGAAUCGUACUGGCUCAGUUUGUCAUCCAGCCAAUCACAUCACUGCUGACGCUGCUGAAAGGAAUCCUGCUCAUCAUCACUGUGGCGGUGACAUUUGUGGUGGGUUCAGAAGUUCACCAGGAGACCACGAACGACUUCAGCCAAAUUGGGAAGCCUUUCCUGAUGGGGACCGUUGCGCUGGGUGGGAUUGUCAACGUAAUGCCAUUCCUCUUCUCGGAAAUAUCUCAUAACAAGACACAGAUUCUGUGGUUCCGAAGAAUGAUACUGGGAGGCCUAACAACAUGUACUGUUCUAAAUAUAUUGUGGUGCUGGGCAGUGCUGGAGAUCGUUCCUCAGAUGUCAGUGCGCAGUGUGGAGGAAGGAGGAGAAUUCAACUCCAGCGGCAUCCUGACGCAGACACGGGGUCUACCGGCAACACACACAUUUAUCUACUCCAACAUCUCUCUGGAGGAAUCAGGAAAGGCUGGAGAGAUUGCUACCAUACCUCUAACUAAGAUCAUUAUGCAGAAGUACCAACGCUUCUCCUGGGUGGCCAACCUGAUCCAGAUCUUCAUCGCCAUCAGCAUAACGGUGUCAUUCCUCGUGAUGGGAUCGGCAAUGAAGCACACAAUCGAGGGGCUCGUAAGCUCACAGUGGGACUUCAAGACGGAGUGGCUGUCUAAAAUCAAGUGGACAAUACCGCAGUCUCUGCAGAGGCACAAUACCAAAGGUUUAUCCAGUGGCUUUGCGUGCUUCCUAGCAUUUGGAGUCAUUUUCAUCGUGUCCGCGUGUGAUCCCAAGGGAUUUGUGGUGAUGCUCGACAAGGUGGUGUCCUUCUCUCUGAAUAUGGAAGUUGGCCUGUUUAUCUUUACAAUGCUGCGGACGUCCAGAUCAGAACGCUUCAAGUAAGUGAUACAUGUACACAAGUAAGGAUUUAUGUAUGUGCAUGUACUAUAUGCAAUGAGACAGGUAGUGUGUGUGUGUGUAUGUGUGUGUGUGUGUGUGUGUGUGUGUGUGUGUGUGUGUGUGUGUGUGUGUGUUAUGUGUGUGUUAUGUGUGUGUGUGUGUGUGUGUGUGUUUAUGUUUAUACGUGCAGAGAUCCAGACAUGGUCCACUGGCCUUGACAGCCACAUGGCCUCUCUCUCCUCCCAGACACCUGACCGUGCCCCUGCCCUCAGCCGAACUGCUCUUCCACCUGCACUGGCUCCUGCCCGUCUACUUCCUGUUCGCCGUGGGCUAUGACGUCAUGCAGAGCGUGUUCGAGAUCGCCUGGAGCCUAUCCCACUCCCGCCCCGGCCCCGGCCCCGGCCCCGGCCCCCAGCUGCACCCGAACCCCACCAACUCCUCAUUGCUUUAAGGGAAAACCACAGCGAUCCUCCACUCUCACACUGCAAGCCUCUCCAGAGGACCGGCGUGCACUUAGCUGAGUGGGAGACCCGUGGCACCAUCGCCGUCUUCCUCAGACUCCUCAGGGAUGAACUGAAGGCCAAAAAUAAAAGAUGAAUCACAGCGGCUCCUGACCCCCCG